UACGUAGGGGGCAAGCGUUGUCCGGAUUUAUUGGGCGUAAAGAGCGUGUAGGCGGCCUGACAGGUCUGCUGUGAAAACUCGAGGCUCAACCUCGAGAUGUCGGCGGAAACCGUCUGGCUAGAGUCCGGAAGAGGAGAGUGGAAUUCCUGGUGUAGCGGUGAAAUGCGCAGAUAUCGGGAGGAACACCAGUGGCGAAGGCGACUUCCUGGCCUGUUCUUGACGCUGAGGCGCGAAAGCUAGGGUAGCAAACGGG
rnacentral:rRNA from 1 species